CAAAAGAUAACAAUUGUAAGGCAAAAGGGUCGAAAGGACUUGUCUUCUGGGUACAGUUUUUAUACUUUUACUUUAAUCAUCCUUUAUUUUUAUUAACUAUGUAUUUACAUUGUAUCACAGAUCAAAUUUAUUCGUUCAUUGUGUGUAAAUUUGUGUAAUUACGUUUUUUGAUUGAGCUAAGUCAUUCCAAUUGAUAUUUUAUAGUGUGUCUUUCUAUGUUGUGAUGUUCUAUUAUUGUUUCAGAAAAGGGAGAAGAUUUGGUACCAUUACGUUGAAUCCCGCUGCAAUUGUUUGCACCUGUCCUAACUCAGGAAUCUGAUGUUCCGUGGUUGUCGUCUGUUUAUGUGGUCCAUAAGUGUUUCUCGUUUUUCGUUUUUAUAUAGAUUAGACCGUUGGUUUUCCCGUUUGAAUGGGUUUUCACUAGUAAUUUUUGGGGCCCUUUAUAGCUUGCUGUUCGGUGUGAGCCAUAGCUUCGUGUUGAAGGCCGUACCUUGACAUAUAAUGGUUUACUUUUAUAAAUUGUUACUUGGAUGGAGAGUUGUCUCGAUCAUUAGCAAUCGUACCACAUCUACCUAUAUCUAUACACAAGUGAUAAUCAACUUACCAAUAUUAUGCAGAUAACCUUAAUGAAUAAGUUCCUAACAUGGAGUUAAUGAGUUUUAAUGAAUUAAACUUUACCUUACCCACUUUAUAAAACAAAAUCACAAAUAGUAGUUUAUUUAAGGGAUAUCUUCGUAUUCUAAUAUAAUAUUGUUAUUUCAGUUUAACUAAGAUUCAUAGAUAUAUUUCUAUUUAGCACAAAACAUAUUUACUUUAUCUAAGCAUUUUGCAGGCUUAAUGAGGAGAAUGUUUGCUUUUGACCCUCUUUUACAAAAAGCUUUAUAAAUUGAGAAUGGAUAUGGGGAAUGUGUCAAAGAGACAACAACCCGACCAUAGAGCAGACAACAACCGAAGGCCAGCAAUGGGUCUCCAAUGCAGCGAGAAACUCUCGCACCGGGAGGCGUCCUUCAGCUGGCCCCUAAACAAAUAUGUAUAUAUAUGUUACAGGGAAUUUGUGAAAUCGGGGAGUUUGUAAAAUCACUGAAAUUUAUGGGAAUUUGUAAAAUCACUGAACCGAUUAGGGAUUUUAUAAAAUCCCUGAUUUUGACUGGUGAUUUUAAAAAAUCCCUGAAAUAAUUAAGAUCUUUUUUACAGAUUCACUGAUUAAAUUCAGGGAAUUUGUAAAAUAAAUUCAUUCAUUUUCAUUAAGAAUUUCUGUGAAAAAAGCCUACAACAGUAACACUCAUUAGGUUUGAGGUUAAGCUAGCCUUUAGUUUAAUACUUAGUGUGCAGUUUACACGCACUAUACAGUUUACAUACUGUACAAAGAACAAUGACUAAAGGACAGAUGUCUUUAAAUCAAGAGCAAACAUACACACAAAAAGUUAUUUCAAAUAAUUGAGGGAAAAUUAAAGUGCAACAUAUGGAACCGGUGAAAAUAUGAUGAAAUUUUGGAAUAUGUUGUUAAUGAGCCACAGAAAGAAGACAAAAUCUUAUCACUACCUUGUUUGAAAGAAAGUUACUGACAGUGUUUAUUAUAGUUUUUUUUCUGUAAUUACUGUAUAAAAUAAAACCAAUUAUAUCAAGUUUUUAAAAUCAAAUAUAAAACGGAACACUAGGUUGAUUGCUGUCAUAAGAGAAAUACACAUAUGUUAGGUAUAAGAAAUUGAUUGGUAAGGGUAUGUGAUCCAGUGGCAAAUGUUACAUAUAUCAAUUAUAUAAUCAAUUUGGUGAAAUUAAUAUAAUAAAAAAAAUACAUUAUAAUAGAAAUAUAUACUAGUAUGUUUUGAAAAGCAACAUUUCUUUUGUCAAUGAUUGUUUUUUGCGCUUUCUUUAGCUUUCUUGUCAGUUACGGAAUGUAAAAAAAUAAAUUCUGUCUGUUCCUUUUGUAACAUAUCGUUAUUUCAAGAAUCUGUAAAAUAAUAUUUCUAAAAAAACCUAUCUUAUAGAGUACAUAAGCAACCAAAAGAGAAAUAUGUCCACUAUAAUUGGAAGGACAGUUGAAAAUGUUCUACUAAGUAUAUUAAAUAUUUAUUGAUAUUUUCUUUUCAAAUAGAUGGACGGAUUUCAUUUUAAAAUAUCAUAUUGAAAAGUAACACAAUUUCAUAUAGGACUUAACUUAUCUUUAACAGGACACUCUUUGCAUUUCAUUUGUGAUGCUAUUACAACAAGCACACAUUUUUAGAGUAUGUGUGUUACAACAUUCAGGAUUGACGAUCAAUGCGUUUGAAAGAGGACAUAUGAUUGGAACCCCCUUUUAAAAAUGGCUGGAUCCGAUUUUUGCAGUUUUAGGUUUAACAUCAAUAGAAUUUCCCAGUUUAUAUAGAUUGUUUUUUUGCCAAAGAAUCUUUAAUGUUAGAAAGGAAUAUCAGUACAUUAUGUAAUUUGUUUAUACUUUCAGUACCUUCAGUAGUUUCAUCGAUUCAAGUUUUCUAAGAAAGAGUUCAAUAGCAUGGCAAAUUUAACAGAGGAUUUCACAACUAACCUUGAUGUAAGAAGCACUGAAAGUCUCGAUAAACGAUUACUUUUCCUAAUGGACAAAGCAGCAAAGAAAGUCAAAGAAGUAGCGCCUAUUGUUGAUUAUGUUCACCAGAAAGUUGCAGACUACAGAAAGCAAAGACCUUACGAUACAGUAACAGUGGUUGGUAGUGUAGGAAACGAGCUUUACAUUCCCGAGAUCAUGCCGGACGGUUCUUAUUUGAUAGAGGUAGAUGUGUUGUAUAACAGGGAAAUGACAAAUGCUAUCCUUCCCAUGUAUAUGCCUCCUGAUGAUGUUCUGUAUACCAGAGAAAAAACGCGUGUUGUCAUGCCUACUGCAGGGCUCGACAUU
rnacentral:lncRNA from 1 species